rnacentral:misc_RNA from 1 species
UCCGGUUUAACACCGGCAGUCUCCGUAGAGUGCCCAACUAAAUGGUGGCAACUACGGACAAGGGUUGCGCUCGUUAAGGGACUUAACCCGACAUCUCACGAUACGAGCUGACGACAGCCAUGCAGCACCUGUCUCCUAGCCUCCGAAGAGGAAACCCUAUCUCUAGGGCUGUCUAGGGAUGUCAAACCCAGGUAAGGUUCUUCGCGUUGCAUCGAAUUAAACCACAUGCUCCACCGCUUGUGCGGGCCCCCGUCAAUUCCUUUGAGUUUUAACCUUGCGGCCGUAGUCCCCAGGCGGGGCACUUAAUGCGUUAGCUGCGGCACUCAGGGGGUCAAUACCCCGAACACCUAGUGCCCAUCGUUUACAGCGUGGACUAC